UACAGAGACCUCGAGCGUUAUCCGGAAUCAUUGGGCGUAAAGCGUACCGAUAGGUGGUCACGCCAGUCAGAGGUGAAAUCUCCGAGCUCAACUCGGAAUCUGUCCUUUGAAACUGCUCGACUUGAGGGGCAAAGAGGAAGCUGGAACGAACGGUGUAGUAGUGAAAUGCGUUGAUAUCGUUCGGAACACCAAUAGCGAAGGCGGGCUUCUGGGUGCCACCUGACACUGCUAGGACGAAAGCGUGGGGAGCGAAUGGG
rnacentral:rRNA from 1 species